rnacentral:sRNA from 1 species
CUGUAUAUAGUCCUUGAAUUUUUACUGUUAUAAAAUAUCCCUUGGGUUGGAGGCCAUAGCACAUAACUCAGCCGUGGUGGAGCAUCUGUCCAGGGGGUGCGAGGCUCUGGGGUAAUAGAAACACAAUAACUUAUAAGCUAUAUUUAGAAGCAUCUGAGCUGUGAUGCCACAAGUAAUCCUCGGUAGAUUAGGACAGCCACUCGAUCAGAGUGCCUGGGGACUCGACCAUGGCAGCUGGGCCAAACCUGAGAGGCCAUGUGGGCGGGACACAGAAACUGCGACCCCCUCUCUGACCUGGCAUUAAAACACACGAGGCUGCCAGCCUCCACUGGAAAAACCUCCACACCUUGGCCAAACAUUUGGUAAAAAGUGUUGGACAUCACUUUCUGGUCGUGAAAGGGACACGGAUAUCCUCACGAUACGAUGGAUGUUGCAGGAAACUCUGGGAGCUGACUCAAGCGGGCAGCUCGGCUCUGGCGAGUCUCCGCCCACAAGCUGCCACUGCCCGGGACAGAACCAUCUGAAAAGCCUAUUUUUAUUUUGGGGAGGGAAGAUUCUCGAGACCUCUGCUGAGCUGUCCAGGCGCCUGAAGAGAAAGUAUUUUCCAGUUGCUUUUAACGAAGGUCAGGUAACACAUGUUCUCGGGCCUGGAUCAUGUUGCAUGAUUAAAAAUAGGGACUGCUUAUAUUUUCCGACUUAAGAAACUAGAAAUCUCUACCCUGUUAGGCCCCCAAACUUUGUUUUACUGUACAAAGUCUUUUUAAAUAUUAACCAAUACCUACUUUAUACACACACACAUGUAAUACACAUGCACACACACAUAUAUAUAUAAUACACAUGCACACACACACACACACGCAUAUAAUACACAUGCACAUGCCUACAGAUUGCAUUAAGCCCUAUUAAAUAUUAACUUCUGACUGGUCAAUAAUUGCCCUGGUUUUCCAGCUCUAACAACAGACUGUAAUUUGGUUUGACUCACUAAUAUUAACAUAUGGUGACACCUCACAUGCCAAGGUUAUUUUUGGAACCAGAAAAUCAAAACCUGAGCAUACUUCGGAACCAGUUAACCUGCUCUGUCAGAUUGACACACGCAGCAAGCCUCCAGUACGUGGACUGCUCCUGUUGUUUUAAUUUUAUUUAUUGUGAGUGGUACCUAUGUGUGUAUGUGUGUGUGCGUGUGUGUGCGUGUGUGUGCGUGUGUGUGCGUGUGUGUGCGUGUGUGUGCGUGUGUGUUGCGUGUGGACAUCAAAGCACAACUUUAGGGAGUUGGUUCUCUCCUUCCACCAUUGUUGAGGCAAAUCGCUCAGACCUCUCUUGGUUCUGUGCUGUGGACUUUGGGCUAGCUGGACUUUGGGGUUUUUCUACAACAGAGUCUCACUAUGUAAACCCGGCUAACUAGAACUCGACACCCACUAUGUAGACCAGGCUUGCUUCUGCCUCACAAGAGCUGGAAUUAAAGUUUACUUUGAGACAAAGUCUCAUGUAGACCAGGAUGGCCUCAAACAUGCUAUGAAGCCGAAGAUGACCUCAAAUUCAAAUUCUGAUCCUCCCGUCUCUCUCCCUUCCCCCCAACCCCCAAUGCUACGGCUACAGGCUUGUGCCACUGUGCCCAGUUUCCUCCGAAGUGCUGGAGUUGAACCCAAGACUUAGUGCAUGGGAGGAAGGCGUUCUUCCACAAGCGAAGGAUGGCUUUGAACCUUUAAACUUCCUGACCCUGCUUUCCGAGGGCUGGGAUUCCGUGGAGGCGCCACCACAGCCAGUUUGUGUGGUACUCAGAAUGGAACCCGGGGCCUCCCGUGCGCCAGGCAACGCUUUACCAACUGAGCUACAGCCCGGUUUGGUGGAAUCCACAAAGAAGGAAAAGAAUGUGCUAUAAGAGAUGUCACAGACCACCUUCCCCGUACUCACCCGACCCAUGCACUCAGAUGUCAGAGACGCAUCAUGUACAUGUGCUACCCACAGAGCCCAGAAGGGGCAUUCGAUCCCUUAGGGCUGGAGUUGCAGACAGAUGUAAUCGGCUACCGGGCUGCUUGGAAUGAAACCCAGGUCCUCUGGAAGAGCAGCCGGUGCCUUUAAACACGGAGAUGUCUCUCCAUCCUCGACAGAGAGUGACAUCUAAGAGGCAUAUGCAAAGACCUGGCUGGAGCUCAGCUCCUGGGGCACUUGCCCGGCACACACAGGGCCUAGGUUCAGUCAGCAAUGAAACAAACAGAAGACGCUGAUGAGUACCUGUAGGUGCAGGAAGAUCCGAAUUUUAAGGCUGGCUUCGGUGACUUAAAUCCCACUUUCAACAAAAGUUAAUAAAAUAACAAAAAGCA